CUCAGGAUGAACGCUAGCGACAGGCUUAACACAUGCAAGUCGAGGGGCAGCAUAAAAGUAGCAAUACUUGGUGGCGACCGGCGCACGGGUGAGUAACGCGUAUGCAACCUACCUAUCGAGAGGGGAAUAACCCGGCGAAAGUCGGACUAAUACCGCAUAAAACAGGGGCACCGCAUGGUGAUAUUUGUUAAAGAAAUUCGCUGAUAGAUGGGCAUGCGUUCCAUUAGGUAGUUGGUGAGGUAACGGCUCACCAAGCCGACGAUGGAUAGGGGAACUGAGAGGUUGGUCCCCCACACUGGUACUGAGACACGGACCAGACUCCUACGGGAGGCAGCAGUGAGGAAUAUUGGUCAAUGGGCGGGAGCCUGAACCAGCCAAGUCGCCGUGAAGGAAGAAGGAUCUAUGGUUCGUAAACUUCUUUUGCAGGGGAAUAAAGUGCAGGACGUGUCCUGUUUUGUAUGUACCCUGAGAAUAAGGAUCGGCUAACUCCGUGCCAGCCGCUGC
rnacentral:rRNA from 1 species